rnacentral:sRNA from 1 species
AAAUUCGUUACCUUUAACCACGAUUUGAUAUGACGAAACUGAUUUCUCCCAAACCCUAACGAUUCUGCUCCUUCUCCUUUUCUCUCUUUUUCUCCUUUAUAAAACGAAAAGUGGCUAACCAAAGCCCUAAUUUCGAGUUUCCUUCUUUUAUAGGCACACUCUAGGGUUUUCAAUUAACCCAACCAAUUAAACCGGAUGAUUUAAAAAACAAACCCUAACCGAUUUUCCGGUUCACGGGCGUUACAAGUGCUAUCUGUACAGCGUUGUCUGUACAAAGCUAUAUGUACAGCGCAAUCGUAAAGAAAAACAAAUUUUUUAGAGAGAAAACAAAUUAAAUAAAAACACAUAACCAAUAAUACUUGGAUAAUACAUAAAAAGAGUUAUACAUUCAUCAGUAAUACUUGUCACUUUGAAAGAAGUUUAGGUAAUCUGUACAAUGCUAAUGUAAAA